rnacentral:rRNA from 1 species
UAGCGAAGGGGACUAGCGUUGUUCGGAAUUACUGGGCGUAAAGCGCGCGUAGGCGGAUCGCUAAGUCAGGGGUGAAAUCCCAGGGCUCAACCCUGGAACUGCCUUUGAUACUGACGAUCUGGAGAUCGGGAGAGGUUGGUGGAAUUCCGAGUGUAGAGGUGAAAUUCGUAGAUAUUCGGAGGAACACCAGAAGCGAAGGCGGCCAACCUGGCCCGAUACUGACGCUGAGGCGACGAAAGCGUGGGGAGCAAACAGG